CCUACGGGUGGCAGCAGUGGGGAAUAUUGCACAAUGGGCGAAAGCCUGAUGCAGCAACGCCGCGUGAAUGAAGAAGGGUUUCGGCUCGUAAAGUUCUAUCAACAGGGACGAAAGAAAUGACUGUACCUGAAUAAGAAGCCCCGGCUAACUACGUGCCAGCAGCCGCGGUACUACGUAGGGGGCAAGCGUUAUCCGGAAUUACUGGGUGUAAAGGGGAAGUAGGCGGCAUGGUAAGACAGAUGUGAAAGCCUUGGGCUUAACCCGAGGAUUGCAUUUGGAACUAUCAAGCUAGAGUACAGGAGGGGAAAGCAGAAUUCCAAGUGUAGCGGUGAAAUGCGUAGAGAUGAGGAAGAACACCAGAGGCGAAGGCGGCUUUCUGGACUGAAACUGACGCUGAGGCACGAAAGCGUGGGGAGCGAACAGGAUUAGAUACCCGUGUAGUC
rnacentral:rRNA from 1 species